AGUGAACGCUGGCGGUAGGCCUAACACAUGCCAGUCGAACGGCAGCACAGUAAGAGCUUGCUCUUACGGGUGGCGAGUGGCGGACGGGUGAGGAAUACAUCGGAAUCUACUUUUUCGUGGGGGAUAACGUAGGGAAACUUACGCUAAUACCGCAUACGACCUACGGGUGAAAGCAGGGGAUCUUCGGACCUUGCGCGAUUGAAUGAGCCGAUGUCGGAUUAGCUAGUUGGCGGGGUAAAGGCCCACCAAGGCGACGAUCCGUAGCUGGUCUGAGAGGAUGAUCAGCCACACUGGAACUGAGACACGGUCCAGACUCCUACGGGAGGCAGCAGUGGGGAAUAUUGGACAAUGGGCGCAAGCCUGAUCCAGCCAGACCGCGUGGGUGAAGAAGGCCUUCGGGUUGUAAAGCCCUUUUGUUGGGAAAGAAAAGCAGCAGGUUAAUACCCCGCUGUUCUGACGGUACCCAAAGAAUAAGCACCGGCUAACUUCGUG
rnacentral:rRNA from 1 species